rnacentral:rRNA from 1 species
UACGAAGGGGGCUAGCGUUGUUCGGAAUUACUGGGCGUAAAGCGCGCGCAGGCGGUCUUCCAAGUCAGUGGUGAAAGCCCGGAGCUCAACUCCGGAAUUGCCAUUGAAACUGUUGGACUUGAGUACGAGAGAGGUGAGUGGAAUUCCCAGUGUAGAGGUGAAAUUCGUAGAUAUUGGGAAGAACACCGGUGGCGAAGGUGGCUCACUGGCUCGUAACUGACGCUCAAGCGCGACAGCGUGGGGAUCAAACAGG